rnacentral:rRNA from 1 species
CCUACGGGAGGCAGCAGUGGGGAAUAUUGGGCAAUGGGCGCAAGCCUGACCCAGCAACGCCGCGUGAAGGAAGAAGGCUUUCGGGUUGUAAACUUCUUUUCUCAGGGACGAAGCAAGUAACGGUACCUGAGGAAUAAGCCACGGCUAACUACGUGCCAGCAGCCGCGGUAAUACGUAGGUGGCAAGCGUUAUUCGGAUUUACUGGGUGUAAAGGGCGUGUAGGCGGGUCUGCAGGUCAGAUGUGAAAACCACGGGCUCAACCUGUGGCCUGCAUUUGAAACUGUAGGUCUUGAGUACUGGAGAGGCAGACGGAAUGCCUAGUGUAGCAGUGAAAUGCGUAGAUAUUAGGAGGAACACCAGUGGCGAAGGCGGUCUGCUGGACAGCAACGGACGCUGAGGCGCGAAGGCGUGGGUAUCGAACGGGAUUAGAUACCCGGGUAGUC